rnacentral:misc_RNA from 1 species
GAUGAAGAACGUAGCGAAUUGCGAUAUGUAAUGUGAAUUGCAGAAUUCAGUGAAUCAUCGAAUCUUUGAACGCACAUUGCGCCCCCUGGUAUUCCGGGGGGCAUGCCUGUCCGAGCGUCAUUACAACCCUCAAGCUCAGCUUGGUGUUGGGCCCCGCCGCCCCGGCGGGCCCUAAAGUCAGUGGCGGUGCCGUCCGGCUCCGAGCGUAGUAAUUCUUCUCGCUCUGGAGGUCCGGUCGUGUGCUCGCCAGCAACCCCCAAUUUUUUUCAGGUUGACCUCGGAUCAGGUAGGGAUACCCGCUGAACUUAAGCAUAUCAAUAAGCGGAGGA